rnacentral:SRP_RNA from 1 species
GCUGGGCGUGGUGGAGCAUGCCUGUAAUCCCAGCUACUUGGGAGGCUGAGGCAAGAGAAUCACCUGAACCCAGGAGGUGGAGGCUGCAGUGAGCCGAGAUAGCGCCAUUGCACUCCUGCCUGGGUGACAGAGUGAGAUUCUGUCUCAA